GAUGAACGCUAGCGGCAGGCCUAAUACAUGCAAGUCGAACGAUAGAAGAGGGCUUGCUCUCUUCGAAAGUGGCGCACGGGUGCGUAACGCGUAUGCAACCUACCUUAAUCAGGGGGAUAGCCCGAAGAAAUUCGGAUUAACACCGCAUAAAAUCACAGUACAGCAUUGUACAAUGAUCAAAUAUUUAUAGGAUUAAGAUGGGCAUGCGUGACAUUAGCUAGUUGGCGGGGUAACGGCCCACCAAGGCGACGAUGUCUAGGGGAUCUGAGAGGAUGACCCCCCACACUGGUACUGAGACACGGACCAGACUCCUACGGGAGGCAGCAGUAAGGAAUAUUGGUCAAUGGAGGCAACUCUGAACCAGCCAUGCCGCGUGCAGGAAGACGGCCCUCUGGGUUGUAAACUGCCUUUAUUCGGGAAUAAACCUCAUUACGUGUAAUGAGCUGAAUGUACCGAAGGAAUAAGGAUCGGCUAACUCCGUGCCAGCAGCCGCCGUAA
rnacentral:rRNA from 1 species